UACGUAGGUGGCAAGCGUUGUCCGGAUUUAUUGGGUUUAAAGGGUGCGUAGGCGGCUUUGUAAGUCAGUGGUGAAAUAUGGCAGCUUAACUGUCAAGGUGCCAUUGAUACUGCGGAGCUUGAGUACAGAUGAGGUAGGCGGAAUUGACGGUGUAGCGGUGAAAUGCUUAGAUAUCGUCAAGAACACCUAUAGCGAAGGCAGCUUACUAGGCUGUAACUGACGCUGAGGCACGAAAGCGUGGGGAGCAAACAGG
rnacentral:rRNA from 1 species